CAGCAGCCGCGGGAAUACGAAGGGUGCAAGCGUUAAUCGGAAUUACUGGGCGUAAGGCGUGCGUAGGCGGUGAGUUAAGUCUGCUGUGAAAUCCCCGGGCUCAACCUGGGAAUGGCAGUGGAUACUGGCUCGCUAGAGUGUGUCAGAGGAUGGUGGAAUUCCCGGUGUAGCGGUGAAAUGCGUAGAGAUCGGGAGGAACAUCAGUGGCGAAGGCGGCCAUCUGGGACAACACUGACGCUGAGGCACGAAAGCGUGGGGAGCAAACAGGAUUAGAUACCCCAGUAGUCCCUGUCUCUUAUAA
rnacentral:rRNA from 1 species